AGUGGGAGGAUCAAAUUAAAUGAGAGUAACAACUAACUACUCCUUUCUUCUAUAGUCUCACAUCCACAUUUCAUCAGAUACGAUUUGUUCUCUAUAUAAACUCUACAUCACCCAUCUCCUUUUGGAAACCAACAAAAAAACCGGAACUAGCUAAUAGAUAUAUAUGGCUGGUCUUAUGAAGUUGGAAUGCUUGGUCUUCGUCUACAUGAUUGCGGCGUGUCCAAUCACAGCAAAGGCGGCUCUGAGCUGUGGCGAAGUUAACAGCAAUUUGAAACCAUGCACUGGCUACUUGACCAAUGGUGGUAUCACUAGCCCAGGCCCACAGUGCUGCAACGGCGUUAGAAAGCUUAACGGCAUGGUCCUUACAACCCUAGACCGUCGGCAAGCUUGCCGUUGCAUUAAAAAUGCUGCUAGAGCCAUUGGUCCUGCUCUCAACGCUGAACGAGCUGCUGCGAUUCCUAGGAGAUGCGGAGUCAGAAUACCUUACAAUACCAAAAUCAGGACCACCACCAGGUGCAACACCGUGAGGUGAGCGGCGGUCAGAUACUCAGAUGAAACUACUAGCGGAUAUAUAUUUUCUUGUUCAGAAAUUCGUUACUAAUCAGAAGAGUCGAAGGUAAAAAGUAUAAAAUCAAAAGAUAUAUUCAAGGACAAAAAAUCUAUGUGACGGAAGUAGCCUCUGACAGUGAAGAAGACGACAUAAGGCAAACAUCACUUCUCUUUUUGAAACAAGAGGAAUAAUAUCAAAGAUAUUUUGUGGUUAUGAGUGUAUUGAAUAAAGUUAUGGUUAUGAGUAUGUAGAAUAAAGUUAUGGUUGUAAAAUAAGUUUGUAAAAUAUUUUAAAGAAUAUUUUAGGUAAUAUUCCCUAGGCUUUGUUCUAUAAAUACCUAAGCUUGGUAAAGUGUUAAACCAAACUAAGUGAGUGAGAAAGAACCUAAGAGAGUUUGAAAGUC